rnacentral:rRNA from 1 species
UGGGGAAUAUUGCACAAUGGGCGCAAGCCUGAUGCAGCCAUGCCGCGUGUAUGAAGAAGGCCUUCGGGUUGUAAAGUACUUUCAGCGGGGAGGAAGGCGAUACGGUUAAUAACCGUGUCGAUUGACGUUACCCGCAGAAGAAGCACCGGCUAACUCCGUGCCAGCAGCCGCGGUAAUACGGAGGGUGCAAGCGUUAAUCGGAAUUACUGGGCGUAAAGCGCACGCAGGCGGUCUGUCAAGUCGGAUGUGAAAUCCCCGGGCUCAACCUGGGAACUGCAUCCGAAACUGGCAGGCUAGAGUCUUGUAGAGGGGGGUAGAAUUCCAGGUGUAGCGGUGAAAUGCGUAGAGAUCUGGAGGAAUACCGGUGGCGAAGGCGGCCCCCUGGACAAAGACUGACGCUCAGGUGCGAAAGCGUGGGGAGCAAACA